AAAAAAGUGGAGAUUGCAGGUCCAUGGAUUUUAAAAAUUAUCUUUAUUUUCAUGUUAAUUGAAAAUCAAAUGAUAUAUUAAAUAGUAAAAAAUUUUAGAGAAAACGUUUUACUUUAUUUCAUGAAAAAUUGUAUUCUGUAAAUAUGAUCAUAAAAUGAAUUAUGAAGAUUACUAAAUCCUUUUCUUUUAAACAUUGAGUUAGAAAAUGUGAAAGCAUUAAAAUGUGCUGUCAUUGAUAUUAUAUUUUUUGCCUGUAGAUGGCACUAUAAUUUUAGAUAUCUUUCUUAUUUAUUACUUUGACCAUGUUUAAAGAAAGGGUCACUAAACUUGUUUCAAGCCAUCAUAAAAUGUAUUCAGAUACUGUACAUGUGAACUAUUUUGUAUACCAAUAACAUUUGCCAUGUUCAUUUUUUUUUUUUCCAGUUUAUGACUUUAAGAUAUUUUGGACCAAAUGAUGACCAGGUUUUUGCAGUAAUUCUGGGGCAUUUCAGGCUUUCAGAAGAAUACUCUUUGGAUGAGUUUUCAUUUUCAAAGUUGCAUUUGAAACUGAUCCCAUAGUGCCUCAGGAUUACUAAGGAACUUUUCUAAGAGCUGGAAACUGCAAUGAACAAGACAGAAAACGACUCUUCUUGUGGGAGGUGGCAAACAACGAACAAGCAGAAAAUGUAAAUUUUAAGAGCGGGCAAACUCUUGGCAUCUGAAGAUUUUGAAGGAGACUUAGAAGUCCAUGGCACGUCCUAUCUGCUGAGGGAUCGUUCUGAAUUGUGAAUGCUUCAGGGCUGCUGUGUGAGUGUG